rnacentral:rRNA from 1 species
UACGGAGGAUGCAAGCGUUAUCCGGAUUUAUUGGGCGUAAAGCGUCCGCAGGUGGCUAUUCAAGUCUGCUGUCAAAGCUCGGAGCUUAACUCCGAAUCGGCGGUGGAAACGGAAAGCUAGAGUGCAGUAGGGGUAGAGGGAAUUCCCAGUGUAGCGGUGAAAUGCGUAGAGAUUGGGAAGAACACCGGUGGCGAAAGCGCUCUACUGGACUGCAACUGACGCUCAGGGACGAAAGCGUGGGGAGCGAACAGG